rnacentral:rRNA from 1 species
GACGUAGGGGGCCAGCGUUGCUCGGAAUUACUGGGUGUAAAGGGUUCGUAGGCGGUGCGGCAAGUCGGGAGUGAAAUCUCUGGGCUCAACCCAGAGUCUGCUUCCGAAACUGCUGUGCUUGAGUGUGGGAGAGGCGCGUGGAAUUGCAGGUGUAGCGGUGAAAUGCGUAGAUAUCUGCAGGAACACCCGUGGCGAAAGCGGCGCGCUGGACCACUACUGACGCUGAGGAACGAAAGCUAGGGGAGCAAACAGG